UGGAUCAUGCUAUUUUGAUUCUCCUGCUGUUUUCACAGUUAAAGCCAGCUCUUCAGCGAGGGGGGAGCUCAGCCUCUUUACACAACAGCACAAUGAGGAACACCAUUUUCCAGCUCAUGAUCCACACUUUAGACCCUCUCGGGGAAGACGGCGGAGAGAAUCCUGAGCAGAGCAAAGAGCCAAAGACUGACAAUGCCUCCGACACCGAGAAGAAGGAAGCAGCUGAUGACAAGAAGGAGGACGUCCCUGCGAACAGCGGCUCUGACGGUUCGGACGACCCCAGUGACAGUGAAGAAGGGAGCGACAGCGAGGAGGAUAGUGAAU
rnacentral:lncRNA from 1 species